rnacentral:rRNA from 1 species
GACGAACGCUGGCGGCGUGCUUAACACAUGCAAGUCGAACGGGCCUGUCUUCUUUUUUGGGGGUGGGUUGAGUGGCGAACGGGUGAGUAUCACGUGAGUAACCUGCCCUUCGGUCCUGGAUAACCGCUUGAAAGGGCGGCUAAUACGGGGUGGUCCGGUUGGUCCGCAUGGGCUGGUCGGGAUAGAUUCACUGUUUUUGGUGUUUCGGCGGGGGAUGGGCUCGCGGCCUAUCAGCUUGUUGGUGGGGUGAUGGCCUGCCAAGGCGGUGACGGGUAGCCGGCCUGAGAGGGUGGGCGGCCACACUGGGACUGAGAUACGGCCCAGACUCCUGCGGGAGGCAGCAGUGGGGGGUAUUGCACAAUGGGCGGAAGCCUGAUGCAGCGACGUCGCGUGAGGGAUGGAGGCCUUCGGGUUGUGAACCUCUGUUUCCGGUGGUGAAGGCCCUGUCCGUGUGGUGGGGUUGACGGUAGCCGGGGAUGAAGCGCCGGCUAACUACGUG